rnacentral:tRNA from 1 species
GGGCCCUUAGCUUAGCUGGUAGAGCGCCUCCCUUGCACGGAGGAGGUCAGGAGUUCGAAUCCCCUAGGGUCCA